ACAGCACAGUACUUUGCCGUGUAUACCAAAUUGCCAGCGUCGGAAACCUUACCUAGCGUGCAGACUCUGUAACAGCAUCACCUAUAUCGUGAGAGGGAAAAUAAGUGUAAACCCCAAAGACGAGCAAAAUGCUCCUUGGAAACUGAGCUGGCCAAUCCAGAGCGACAGACUGGAGUGAAAUUGGUGAUAGUCGAACCAUAGAGCUGCGCAAAAUACGAUUCGACGUGACCGGAUGGUUCUGAUCUAAGACUUAUAUCAUUUUCGCAGUAUAUUGUCCAUUGAAGAUAGGUCGAUAGAGAGCCUGUCCCCUUACAUUACCCAUAAGCAGCAGUGAUUUCUUUAUUGUUUCGCAGAUAUAUCUCUCACAAUACGGCUCACCUGAAUAAAAAAUAGAUCUACCGGUGUGUUAAUACAUGGAUCCAGUAUGACAGCUGGAUGGAUUUGAAGACUGAGCGGUUCAUAUAAGACCAA
rnacentral:sRNA from 1 species